rnacentral:rRNA from 1 species
AUUGAACGCUGGCGGCAGGCUUAACACAUGCAAGUCGAGCGAGCGGCGGACGGGUGAGUAGUGUCUGGGAAACUGCCUGAUGGAGGGGGAUAACUACUGGAAAAGGUAGCUAAUACCGCAUACCAUCAGAUGUGCCCAGAUGGGCGUGGCUAGUAGGUGGGGUAAUGGCUCACCUAGGCGACGAUCCCUAGCUGGUCUGAGAGGAUGACAGGCCACCAGGGACCGGAGACACGCUCCAGACUCCUACGGGAGGCAGCAGUGGGGAAUAUUGCACAAUGGGCGCAAGCCUGAUGCAGCCAUGCCGCGUGGGUGAAGAAGGCCUUCGGGUUGUAAAGCACUUUCAGCGAGGAGGCGGUACUCGCAGAAGAAGCACCGGCUAACUCCGUGCCAGCAGCCGCGGUAAUUC